GUUGUGAGUGAACGGAUGAAGCUUCUAAUUCAGGCAACAACACUGAUAGCUAUGGUUCUGGCCGGGAUUAUGUUGGUCCAUAAGAUGGUUCAUCGGAAUGGCAAACCUCUCAUCCGGUAUGGUCCGAUGGUAAUCCGAGAUCAGGGGAGGAUAGCGAAUCUGAACUGCAUCUACAACUGCAACGACACAGAUGCUCUAUGGAUGCUUCAAAUGAAAAGAGCACCUUUCACCAGGCUUGUGAAGACGUUCAGGAGCAGGGGGCUGCUAGAAGGUAGCACCCACACCACCGUGGAAAAGAAAGUAGCCAUGUUCCUCCAUGUUAUUGGUCAUAACCAGAGGUUCAGGGUUGCACACAACACCUUCAGGAGAUCAAUGGAGACCAUCUCCAGGCACUUCAAGCAAGUGCUCUAUACUGUUGGGGAGCUCAGAGCAGAGAUGAUUAGGUCGCCAACCGGCAGGACUCCUACCAAGAUUCGCACUAGCCCAAGAUGGUAUCCAUACUUCAAGGUGAGCACUGACAAUAUGUAG
rnacentral:rRNA from 1 species